AUAUUCACUGCCUGUACUCCUAAAAUCUAUACUUCGAGUUACAUACGCUGUAGAUUUUACGUAAUGGAAAGAUAACAAAACUGUGAUUAAAACCACACACACGCAGAUAUAUUCUCUAUCACUCUGGACUAUCCUGGACAAGAUUGUUUGUUGAAAGUAAUUUGUCAACCUGCAAAAUAUGCUUUAAGCGAAAACGGUGUGCUCUUGGUGAUAUUCUCAAAAUCAUAUUCACACCUUUCACGUCGAGAAGCGAGGAGCUUCCAAAUGACAUCACGCAAGCUGAGCACGAGCAAAUUUGCGAUCAACGUUACGAAAACUGUUCCCUGAAUCCUUUAGAUUUAAUAAUAAAUAAUAGUAAUAAUAAGUCAUUACGUCGAUUAUUAAAAAUCUACACAAAAUUCGACACAAUAUUCGAUAAGUAUUGAAAA